AGAGUUUGAUCAUGGCUCAGAACGUACGCUGGCGGCACGCCUAACACAUGCAAGUCGAACGAAGUAGCAAUACUUAGUGGCAAACGGGUGAGUAACAUGUGGGUAUCUGCCCUUCGGCCUGGAAUAACACGGGGAAACUUGUGCUAAUACCAGAUAAGUCUUUUAAGAGAAAGCUUUAUGCACCGAUGGAUGAGCCCGCACCUGAUUAGUUAGUUGGUGAGGUAAUAGCUCACCAAGACAAUGAUCAGUAGCUGAUUUGAGAGGAUGAUCAGCCACAUUGGGACUGAGACACGGCCCAAACUCCUACGGGAGGCAGCAGUGGGGAAUAUUGCGCAAUGGGCGAAAGCCUGACGCAGCAACGCCGCGUGAUUGAUGAAGCUUUUCGGAGUGUAAAGAUCUGUCAUGAGGGAAGAACUGUCCUGAUAUUAAUUAAUAUCAGGAUUUGACGGUACCUCAUAAGAAAGCACCGGCUAACUUAGUGCCAGCAGCCGCGGUAAUACUAGGGGUGCAAGCGUUGUCCGGAAUUACUGGGCGUAAAGGGUGCGUAGGCGUCUACGUAAGUUGUUUGUUAAAUCCAUCGGCUUAACCGAUGAUCUGCAAACAAAACUGCAUAGAUAGAGUUUGGAAGAGGAAAGCGGAAUUCCUGGUGUAGCGGUGACAUGCGUAGAUAUCAGGAGGAACACCGAAAGCGAAGGCAGCUUUCUGGUCCAAAACUGACGCUGAAGCACGAAAGCGUGGGGAGCAAACAGGAUUAGAUACCCUGGUAGUCCACGCCGUAAACGAUGAGCACUUGGUGUCGGGGGAUUCGACCCCCUCGGUGCCGUAGCUAACGUGUUAAGUGCUCCGCCUGGGGACUACGACCGCAAGG
rnacentral:rRNA from 1 species